CGGGAGAGCGGCAGCGAUGCAGUCGUCGCUCACGAAUCCCCUUUUCUACUAUGUGCAGGAUUCUCCAAGAAGCCGGUGGUUAAAGAGAGGAGGGGAGAGAAAACUAAAAAGAGUGGGCAAGGCAGGGACUGUGAACCAUGGCCAGACUUGAGCACUGGAACCACCUUGCCCACAUUCCAGUCAUCGGGGAGCAGGCCAGUCUGCAAAGGUUGUGUAAGGAUCUCUGACAGCAUAA